rnacentral:rRNA from 1 species
UACGUAAGGGGGCAAGCGUUGUCCGGAUUUACUGGGCGUAAAGAGCGUGUAGGCGGCCACGCAGGUCCGUUGUGAAAACUGGAGGCUCAACCUCCAGCUGUCGACGGAAACCGUGUGGCUAGAGUCCGGAAGAGGAGAGUGGAAUUCCCGGUGUAGCGGUGAAAUGCGCAGAUAUCGGGAAGAACACCCGUGGCGAAGGCGGCUCUCUGGGACGGUACUGACGCUGAGACGCGAAAGCGUGGGGAGCGAACAGG